ACUACGGGUGGCAGCAGUGAGGAAUAUUGGUCAAUGGGCGGAAGCCUGAACCAGCCAAGUAGCGUGCAGGAUGACGGCCCUACGGGUUGUAAACUGCUUUUAUACGGGAAUAACGCGCCUUACGUGUAGGGCUUUGCAUGUACCGUAUGAAUAAGGAACGGCUAAUUCCGUGCCAGCAGCCGCGGUAAUACGGAAGGUCCGGGCGUUAUCCGGAUUUAUUGGGGUUAAAGGGAGCGUAGGCCGCAUGUCAAGCGUGCUGUGAAAUGUCCGGGCUCAACCCGGGCCUUGCAGCGCGAACUGGCGUGCUUGAGUCCGCGGAAGGCAGGCGGAAGUCGGCGUGUAGCGGUGAAAUGCUUAGAUAUGACGAAGAACCCCGAUUGCGAAGGCAGCUUGCUGCAGCGGAACUGACGCUGAUGCUCGAAAGCGCGGGUAUCGAACAGGAUUAGAUACCCGUGUAGUC
rnacentral:rRNA from 1 species